CUUCCUUCUCCCCGUCCCCGGGGGCGGGCUACUGGGGUGCAGAGAAGGGGUGGCGGUGCCGCGCGUGCGCAGGGCUGUGUUUCCUUCUAGCACCUUAAGGUGUGAAUCUGUGGUGGCUUCAGAUGAUCUGAAUCCCAGCGUCUCCCACCCCCUCUUCGCAUUCCCAGCUCCACACGUUCCCAUCUCUGUUCCCGUGCCUGCCAUGAGCACUUGUGCUGCCUCUCGCUUCAGCAGCGAGGCAUUGCCAACAAGGCUUAUUUGGGCUGUACAGGUACCUGAGUGGAGGAGACGAAGGAGGCCAGUUCACGUUUGGUUCCUGUUCUGAUUCAAGUCACAUCGCUCUGGAGUGCUCCCAGAUUUGGUAACAGAGGUACAAAGCUGAGUGAUAAGAAUACCAACAUGCAAAAUCUGAUUGGAGUCCAAAGCUUAUAGAAUUCGGGUGCACUUAGAUGUGGAUUUUGCCCCCCUUGGUUAUUCAAGAAUUACCUGUGAAAUUAAGAGUCAAACUAUUGCUUUUGAUAGACCAUUCCCAAUGACCGGCUAUGCUGUGUGCAACAUAAAGAUCCACUUAGAAUCACAGAAUAUCCCGAACUGGAAGAGACGCACCGUGAUCAUUGAGUCCAACUUCUGGCCCCACACAGAACCACCCAAAAACCAAACCCUAUGCCUGAGAGUGUUAUCAAGAUGUUUCUUGAACUCUGCCAAGCUCAGUGCCAUGAAUGCUUCCCUGGGGAACCUGUUCUAGAGCCUGACCACUCUCUGGUGAAGAGCUUUAUCUUGCCAUCCAACCUGACCUUCUCCUGAACCUCCACUUCCCUUAGUCCAGCCUCUUCAGGAAAUAAUGGGAAAGUCAAGAGUGUGGUGGCAGAAAUAUGUUAGCAGUGGAGGAUAACUGCCAUCAAGGUUCCCUUGCUGGGUCUGCCCCACAUACUUUGGUAGAGGGCACAUUAUAGGUGGGGCAGCAAAGCCCUGAGUAUUUUGGAAAGAGCUGCAGCUCCUGGACCAGCUCAGAGGUGAAAGCAAAAAAGUGGAUAUGGAGCCGUUCUACCUCCCACCCAUUUGGGGCUGCUUUCAGAAAUCAGUGCCUGCAUCUGUAGGACCUGCUCUCUGUGGAUUACUGUGUGCUGCCUGCCUGCAGGCUCUGGACAUCUUUGCUGUAUUGGCUCACAGCAUGCUGACUGUGGCUGUACAUCUAUACUCACAAACUAUGUGAGUCCCUCAUCCCUGAUUGCAUGCAUAGCCCCUGUGCUGCUCCAUGCUUGCUGAUCAGUCCAUCGGGUUUGUGGGCCCAGGCACACUAAGUGUCUACCCCUAAGUUUCUCCCUGAGCCGUGUUUUGAUGCUCCCCAGGAGCAAUGUCCAGGCCAGCCCCAUAGAAGCUUCACUCGGCAGGUGUUGCCAUGUCCAAGCUGGUGUCAGUUUGUGAAAGAGUGCAAUACAGCAAAGGUGUGAGUCCAAGCAUGGGAUACAGGGAAAAUAAAGCUUCUGUACCACUGCCAAUUGAUUUUAAUUUUUGGCAACAGAGAGGCUUUUAUUCUCACUGCAUCAAAAUGAGGGCUUAAUAGUUCAUUUAAGUACCUCUUUGCCUUUCUUUUCACUCUGCACUGCAGCUGGCAUGCCCAAGAAAGCCAGCUUGCUCUGAACACACAUUAAACAUCAGCCAACGUCUGUAAAACAGAAGUGGCACGUUGCUGUUUCACAGCCAGAAGCCACUGGGAUGGCAGAAGAAAGCCAGGGAGGGGGGAUUAUGUUCCUGUCCCACCCAGCAUAUCCUACCUGCAGCAGCAGAGGCACAGCAGUUUGUGCCCUGGGCUCAGACCUGCCCAAAUGGAUGGAGCUGAGCAAAAGGGCAGCUGCCAGAGCUCAUCACUGAGCUGAAAGCAACCUGCUUCCUUACAGCUGCUUCUGCCAGCACAGGCAGGAUUUCUCUCCAUCCACACAUUUAUUUUGAAAAUUUAAGCAUGCAAUCAUGAAAUUCUGCACCAAAUGUUGUCUUUUUUUUAUUUCUGUCCCUUUUUUUUUUUUUAAUCAUCUGUGAUGCUGAUUGACAUUAAGAACAUAAAAAGAGCAGGGAAAAAUUCAAUGAAAGUGAUUCAUUUCCCUCCUCCAUCCAUCUGCCAGCAAUGACAAGCAGCAAAUAGAGCAGCACCGCAUCCUGCCCCGGGUCAGGUCAGCACCACACUCUGCAGCAGAGUCAGCAUGAUCAGGAACCAAAAUAUCUGUAAAUGUCAGGUGUGCCUUGCACAGACGGCAGAGGUGAAAGGAACCCCUGUGCUCAGGCACUCUGCUCUUCUGUAUAAACAGGAUAUGGAGAUGUUCUCUGCAGCUGGAUGACAGCCAGCUCAGAAAGACACAGUUUCAUUUUAAGAGCCUGUGCAAUUCCCCUGGUAAAGCAUUCCAGAUGCUGCUUCCCUUACUUGAAGGAAACUGCGUCCUGUGUGGAGGCUGAGUUUACAUACACAGAGUUAUGCUUUCAGCUAGCAAGCAUUGGUCAGCUGCUGCCUGCAGGAUGGAGAACCAGGGCUGGAGGCAGCUCUCAGUGGGAGAAGAGGGGGGACCUGUGCUUGUUGUUCCCCUAUCAGCCCCAAACAGAGCCAAUGCACAGCAUUAGCCAGUGCUGGCAAUGAGCUGCGACCAUAUUAACGUCCACCUCCUCUCCAUUCCUCAUGAAUUCGUGGCUGCAAAAGCAACCGCAGUGCCAACUUUUUUUCACCUGUCUAUCUAAAAUGAUUGUAAGAUACUUUCAGGAACACAGUGAAGGACUUAGUGCCUCUACAUGCUGAAUAACUUGAUCCCUCUGCAUCACAGGAAUCCCCUUCCCAUUCUGCAUCAUAGUUUGUGCUCCCCCUGUGAAUUCCCUCCCUUCUACAACCUCCCUGUACACAGGUUAUUCUAGCAACAGUGUGACAACUGCUGCAUACAGAGAUGAGACCAUUUUCCUGUCCUAGCCCUCUUUAUUGUGCUGAUUUUUCCAUGCUAUGAUCACCAAGCCCUUCCCAGCUCAUUGCUCUCUGUGACCAGCAGUCCACAUCCUCAGCUGGCACAGGUCUGUGGGUGUGUUUCCAACAGGAUUGCUGAGAAGUCCUCAAAAGAACUGGCUGUGCCUGCAGGCUGUGGGCACAGGUGAUCUAAUUGAUCAAGUCAGAUGUUCCUCCUGAAGUUGAAGUUUCUGCUUCUCUCUGAAUCCCAAUAAUCCUUCCCUGAUUACCAGUUCAAACUUACCUGGAGUGUCCUUCUCUGGAGAUAUUCAAGCCCCUCUGGACAUUCUCCUCUGCAGCCUACUUAGGGAACCUGCUUUAGCAGGGGGUUGGACUCAGUGAUCUCCAGAGGUCCCUUCCAGCCCCUACAGUCCGAUUAUUAUGUGAUGUUAUGAAUAAUUACAUGACCCGUAUUUAGUUACCUAGGAAGCAUUUAGCAGCCCCAAAUCAGAGAGAAGUACUUAAAUCUGGGUGCCACCAGGGCAUAGCAGCAUGGAGAACUGCCAGGCUCUGGCAACCAGCCACCAACCACCAUGCCUAAGGUGGAUUCCUGCGGCAAAAUAAUCACCUGAAUACAGUGGCUGAGCUUUUACCAGAGCCAGCUCUUGUCACAGUUCAGUUUGUAGAGCUGAUUACAAUUAUUCUGCAGCUCUAACAAUGUGGAUGAUGUGAAUAAGAGACAGCCACAGCAUCUCAGUAACUCAGUGUGAAAAGACACUUGCAGAAAGAUAAAAGAUUAAUUGAAAACUCACAAGGUCCUCAUCACCCUCCCAGGCCAGAACUUGCCUCUUGUUCCCACUAGCUGUACUUCCUGAUAAAUAGCCAUUAAAAACUAGUUUUCAGGCUAUAUGGCCAAGUGAAAUUGAAGAUGUUUAUU
ensembl:lncRNA